rnacentral:rRNA from 1 species
GUGCUUGCACUUCGCUGACGAGUGGCGGACGGGUGAGUAAUGCUUGGGAACUUGCCUUUGCGAGGGGGAUAACAGUUGGAAACGACUGCUAAUACCGCAUAACGUCUACGGACCAAACGGGGCUUAGGCUCCGGCGCAAAGAGAGGCCCAAGUGAGAUUAGCUAGUUGGUAAGGUAAAGGCUUACCAAGGCAACGAUCUCUAGCUGUUCUGAGAGGAAGAUCAGCCACACUGGAACUGAGACACGGUCCAGACUCCUACGGGAGGCAGCAGUGGGGAAUAUUGCACAAUGGGGGAAACCCUGAUGCAGCCAUGCCGCGUGUGUGAAGAAGGCCUUCGGGUUGUAAAGCACUUUCAGUUGUGAGGAAAAGUUAGUAGUUAAUACCUGCUAGCCGUGACGUUAACAACAGAAGAAGCACCGGCUAACUCCGUGCCAGCAGCCGCGGUAAUACGGAGGGUGCGAGCGUUAAUCGGAAUUACUGGGCGUAAAGCGCACGCAGGCGGUUUGUUAAGCUAGAUGUGAAAGCCCCGGGCUCAACCUGGGAUGGUCAUUUAGAACUGGCAGACUAGAGUCUUGGAGAGGGGAGUGGAAUUCCAGGUG